rnacentral:lncRNA from 1 species
GUUCCCUGAGAGGCCAUACAGGAGCCUGAGGUAGCAUUCAGAACAUCAGUACAGUCAGCUGGGAUGUUUAGUGUUGUAAAGGAACCCAGGAGGCAUGUGGCGUUUUCCUAUGCCUCUGUUGGGCGCUGUACCGAUAAGCUAAUUCCCCAGCCCCUGGAUCUACUAUUUGGAGGACCUGAUGGGUGCUGUUAACUAAGCACAAGAGGUCAG